AAGUUUGAGACAAAUGUCUCUUGUCUUUCCUUUCUUUCAUUAUAGAGUAUUUUGUAAGAGAUUGAGUGUUGGAAAACACUUGUGUAAAUCCUUUCUUUGGAGUGAUCUUGUAACGUUAUUCUCUUGGGGUGAUUCGAAAGUGAUUUGAAAGAAUGAAUUUCAUGAUUGAAACUCUAAGUUGUAAGAGUUGACCAAGUUUGACUUUUUAAAUAUUUGACCUCGAUUCGGAGUUUUGACAUCUCUAUUAAGUCCGGAUGGUGAUUUUGGACUCGAUCGUAUACCCGGAUUUGCAUUUGGAUAUUUCUAGAAGGUUUCGGUGCUAAUUGGCGAGAGUUGGAAAUUUGAAGGUUUAAAAGGUUCAUAAGUUUGACCGGGAGUUGACUUUGAUAAAAUCGGGUUCGGAUUAUGGUUUAGGUAAUUGGAAUAGCUUUGUUAUGUCAUUUUGGACUUGUGUGCAAAAUUUGAGUUCAUUCUGUGUUGAUUUGAUA